AAAAUCCAUCUUUGAACUCUCUACCAGACUAGCAAAAAGCAAUUAAUCAAAAAUGCCAAAACCACAACAGAUAUAUGCACCAAACAAUGUAGAUACCAAUUACCAUUGUUAGUGUCUAUACACUGGGCUUCCCUGCGGCGGUACCGGUGGCAAGCGAUUCGGGGUGCGACGACUCCCAGAGUUCGAACCCGAGCUCGUGUCGCCAUU
rnacentral:misc_RNA from 1 species